UCUCGAGGGGCUCAGUUGGCAGAGUGCUUGCCUCGCAAGGUCCUGGGUUCAAUCCCCAGCACCAAAA
rnacentral:tRNA from 1 species